rnacentral:lncRNA from 1 species
UUUUUUUUUUUUUUGCUAAUAAAAGGCAUGGGGUUCAUUGUACUCAUUUUGUCUUCUCACCCGACCCUUCUUCUGGCACUGGCACCUACUGAGCUUGGUUGGAGAGUUCCUUAGAAUGUCCCUUGACUAAUAAGGUGGAGGCUUGGCCAUGCCUCAUAAGCUAUAGAAGGGAUGAUGGACAAGGCUUUUAAAAUCUGCCCGGCUCCUGUUUCCUAUGCCAUCCGUCAUGAAUUGUGAGCGAGUUGUUUCUGUUUGUAAAAUAGGAGCAGAGAUGAGGUCGUGACAGACGCAGCUUUGGUAAAAGGCGCUUCAGCUUUCUGAUGGACGAGAACAUCUCGUGGCUUCUCUUUGCUGGGGGCAGAUUCCUUCAACACUUUUUUUUUUUUCUCUCCCCAUUUUGCUUUAAGCUGAAUCUGCCAAAGGAAAUGCCUGCGAUUCAAAGUCCAAGUUAACAACAAAUGAAUGCUUUUAAGUGGCGUGUCAUUGUGGUUUUUUUCUUCAGAUUAUUUGGGGAAACUUAAUUUUAUUAACUAGGAGAGAACUAAAUGGAGGAAAUAGCCCACAAAUAAUGUUCCCUGACCCAGGUCCCAGGAUUCUAGUGCAUGUUGGUGCCCACUUUAAUGAACUGUUUAUAUUUGACAAGCACUCUUGUGUUGGAGGCAAAAUAAGUGCCUGUUCCCCCCAAAUAUCCACAUCCUAAUCACGCAGAGUCUGUGAAUGUUGUUUGACAUGACAAGAGGCACUUUGCAGAUAUGAUUAAGGGCACAGACCUGGAGGUGGAGAGGUCUUCUUUGGAUUAUCUGAGUGGAUCCAACCUACUCACCUGAGUCCUUAAAAUUGGAGGACUUUUCCUGGCUGUGGUGAGAAAGAAAGAAAGAAUGGCCCGAGAAGGAUCUGAUGCCCCACCACUGGUCCUGAGAUACAGGGGCUGUGUGCCAGGAGCUGAGUUCUUCCAACAGCCCCACUCAGUGAGAGAAUGACCUUCUCUGAGAGCCUCCAGAAAGGAGGCUAACUCUGCCAAUGCUUUGAUUUUAGCCUGGUGAGACCCGAAUUCUGACCAACAGAACUGUAAGGUAAUGCAGGUGCAUCGCAUUAAACCACAGAGUUUGAGGUUCUUUGUUAUAGCAGCAACAGCAAACUAAUACAUCUCAGUUUCUCUGGUGUAGAGUUUUCCUAAUAACGAGGAACCAAUCAGGAAGGGCUGAAUCAUUUCCUUUCAAAAUCAAAAGCUCUGGCUCCAGUGUUUCAGUGGAUUCCAGCUUGUGGUCCUGCGUUGCUUGGCUGUCAGAAGACUUGGGCGAUCAACAGCUAAGAGGAUGUGAAUGAAUAUUAAUGGAGCAUCCUCCAUGUUCCAGGGAUACUGAUUAUCCUGCUUUACCGUUAAUCCUACUAACCUGUGAGGUCAAUCAUAUCAUAUUUUACAGACCAGAAACUGUUUCUGAGAGGUUAACAGCAACUUUUCUGAGCUUAAGGAAGUAGCAAGUGACAGUGAAGUUGUGAACCUCCAGAAAAUACGUUCUUUCUAUUUUCCGCCCUAUGCUUGCCUCCUUCUUAGCAAGCCUCGGGAGUCAGGAAAUCAAGUGUCGUGGCUGAGUCUCCCAUCACAGUAAACAAGAGAAUAGAAUCACUUGUUUCUUUGGUUGAGAAAACAUUGCUGAAGAUGAGGGACAUUGCCCCUGACCUUUUUUUUUAAACCCACAGUGGGACAGGGUCGGGGGGGGGGGUGUCCCCAGACAGACUGGCUUAUCUCUUAGUCUCUACUCAAGUUCUCAUCUGUGUACUUGACUUUGCUCAUUGCUCAUCAGCAAGGCCUGUGGCUCACAGAAAACGCACCCGGUUUCUUAGCCAGGGAAUCAGGUUGAUAUUUAAGACGAAAGAGGAUUGCAAAAAGAAAAGACUGUUUAUUUUAAAGGGUCACUUGGGACUGGCUUUGCAGAUCCUACCGCUUUAAGCCAGAUUUUGGUUCGAUUGCUGGCAGUGCUGGUUGGAUUAGACGUGUGCAACAUGCUCCUGAGACCCCAAGAUCCUCUGCCAGCCAUUAAACUGUCCUGCAGGUCGUAGGGGGGAACGGUGACUAUCAGCUCACGAAGCCCAGCCCCACCCCUGUGCUGGGAGACGGCUUCCUUACACCCAGCCUCUAGACAGGAUUUGUUUAAUGGGUGGUUUUAAAGCACUUCCUCUGCCGCAUUAAGUCACGAGGGUCAAAAAUACUACCUGCUUCCAAGGAGCAUCUAGUUAGAGGGAGGGAGGGGGCUGUUUAAAAAAGACCAAUAGGGAGUUCCUGUUGUGGUGCAGUGGAAACGAAUUCAACUAGGAACCAUGAGGUUGUGGGUUCGAUCCCUGGCCUCGCUUAGUGGGUUAAGGAUCCAGCGUUGCUGUGAGCCGUGGUGGAGGUCGCAGAUUCAGCUUGGAUCUGGCGUUGCUGUGGCUCUGGUGUAGGCCGGUGGCAACAGCUCCCAAUAGACCCCUAGCCUGGGGACCUCCAUAUGCCAUGGGUGUGGCCCUAAAAAGACAAAAAAAAAGGAACCAACAGGUUUCAGUAAACAGAUAGUCCUGUGCUCCACAGGUGAGGAGGAGACUCGAAGGUCACCCAGCGCAUGCCCAGGUUUGGGGGAGGCAGGCAAAGUCGGUGGCCUGUGUUUGCUCAUGGGUUGGUCCAGGAGGAUCCCUACAGCAGCACCCUGCGAGGCUUGAGAAUCAGGUCCUUAGACCCUGAGGGCUACAGCUCAGUGUGUGCGCCUGGCUAGACCCCUCUGGGGGGUGAAACUGGCACCUCUGAUCCCCCACCGCCACCCCAGGAUGUCGAAUGCCAGCUUAGACCAUGAGCUCUUCUGAAUUGCCUUCUCAGCAGCUGGAGCAUGCUUCUAGAAACUUCUCUUCUGUCAGCUGCUGGAAAUCUGUCCUAGAUGCUCCUUCCCCUAGCUGCUGGCUGGGGCCAGUGCCCAACCUCUCUGUUUUCUGUUGGAUUGAUGUCUUUGUGUUAUUUCCCGCAGCUUGUAAGUUGCUCUUGAGACUCCAAGCUCUCCUCUCCUAUCCCGUUCUGCCUCUGGGUCAGCUUCUGUCCCCCCAUCCUCCCAUCCCAGGCUUCUCGCCGCCUCGCUGGUGGCUCAGUACCAUUCAAGUCCCAGAGCGUCUCAUUUGGGAGUUGGAACAGCAACAGAUCGGACCCUGGAUUCAGCCCUGUGGGGCCUCCUUGAUUUAUACCCAUCGGGUUUAUAACUCCCCUUCGAGGCUUUAACUUCGACCCUAGAGCCCGGCCAACACAAUGCCCAGCUCUGCAACUUGGCACAGAAACUGCAGCCUAGGAUAGAAGAAAAUCCUUACUGAGAUUAAAAAAAAAAAAAAAAAAAAAAAAAAAAA